CUUCACUGCUCUAUAGAGCUUUUCAUUCUCUGAGAAUCUCAAAUUGUUUUGUUUUAGUUUCUUGUUUCUUUGUUUUCUCUGGUUUCUUACCUGCCAAAAGGCAACCAUGUCAAUCCAGGCGAAACGGCACCGCAUAGGCUACGCACUGGCGCCAAAGAAAGUGCAGAGCUUUAUCCAGCCCUCGCUCAUUAGCCACGCGAGUCGCCACAACGUCGAUCUGAUCGCCAUCGAUCCUUCAAAAUCCCUAAUUGAACAAGGGCCAUUUGAUUGUGUCAUUCACAAAUUGUAUGGCCCAGAUUGGAAGCUGCAACUGGAGAAGUUCUAUUUGGAAAACCCUAAGGUUCCCAUUAUUGAUUCUCCUGAUUCCAUCGAGAGGCUGCACAAUCGAAUUUCUAUGCUCGAAGUUGUCAGUCGGUUAAAUAUACCUAAGAGAAGCCAAGUGUUGGAUGUGCCUAAACAGGUUGUUGUUUUGGAUUCGGAGAAUUUGAAGGGAAAUGGUGUAGUUGGGGAGAUAGGGUUUCCUUUAGUAGCGAAACCAUUAGUAGCUGACGGGAGCGCAAAAUCCCACAAAAUGUAUCAGAUUUUUGACAGUGAAGGGUUGAAGAGGCUAGAUGCUCCUAUUAUUUUGCAGGACUUUGUGAACCAUGGUGGCGUGAUUUUCAAAGUUUAUGUGGCUGGUGACUACGUGCAAUGUGUAAAGAG
rnacentral:misc_RNA from 1 species